AUGACAAGUGCAAAGAAGCCAGAAUGGAUGUCCAAAGAACUUCUAACCGGGCUAAGAUUCAAAAGAGACAUCCACAAGAAGUGGCAAGGGGGAGAAAUCACCAAAGAAGAAUUCAAACGUAUAGCCAACUCCUGUAGGGAAAAGGUUCGCAAGGCUAAAGUACAAAAUGAGCUCAGGCUUGCCAGGGACAUUAAAAACAACAAAAAUGCUUUUUUGCUUACGUUGGUAGAAAAAGGAGGCGAUAGGUCCUCUGCGAGGAGAAGAUGGGGUGAUGGCGACAGGGAAAAGGCAGAACUGCUUAAUGCCUUCUUUGCCUCGGUCUUCUCACAAGAAGAAAGCCAUCUUCAACCUCAGCAACAUGAAAUGGACGAAGGAUUUGGGGAAAUCCAACCCCAAAUAGGGAAACAAGUUGUCCAGGAACACCUGGCCGCUCUAAACGAAUUCAAGUUGCCAGGGCCAGAUCAACUACAUCCAAGAGUACUGAAGGAACUAGCUGAAGUUAUUUCAGAACCACUAGCAAUCAUAAUUGAGAGUUCUUGGAGAACAGGAGAAGUCCCAGAAGAUUGGAGGAGGGCAAAUGUCCCUAUCUUCAAGAAGGGAAAAAAGAACGAGCCAAACAAUUACCAUCCGGUCAGCCUCACGUCGAUACCAGGCAAGAUUCUAGAAAAGAUCAUUAAGGAAGUGGUCUGUGAACACUUAGAAACAAAUGCGGUCAUUGCUAAUAGUCAACACGGAUUUACCAAAAACAAGUCAUGCCAGACUAAUCUGAUCUCUUUUUUCAAUAGAGUUACAAGUUGGGUCGAUACAGGGAACGCCGUGGAUGUAGCGUACCUAGAUUUCAGUAAGGCCUUCGACAAAGUCCCCCACGACCUUCUGGCAAACAAACUAGUAAAAUGUGGGCUAGACAAAACUACGGUUAGGUGGAUCUGUAAUUGGCUAAGUGAACGAACCCAAAGGGUGCUCACCAAUGCGUCGUCUUCAUCUUGGAAAGAAGUCACGAGUGGAGUGCCGCAGGGUUCCGUCCUGGGCCCAGUUCUGUUCAACAUCUUUAUUAACGACUUAGACGAAGGGUUAGAAGGCACGAUCAUCAAGUUUGCAGAUGACACCAAACUGGGAGGGAUAGCCAACACUCCAGAAGAGAGGAGCAGAAUUCAAUCUUAA
rnacentral:lncRNA from 1 species